GUCAAGGGCGUCCUGUGGGCUUAGUAGGCGUGCUGCGUGGGUGCUUGAUGGCAUGCAUGGCUCAUCCGUGCUACGCCAUUGGGCGUCUACAAAAACAUGCUAGUGACGUUUUGCGGGGCGGCUGAGGCGAAGGCAGGCGAACGUCAAGGGCGUCUUAUGGACUUAGUAAGCAUACUGCGUGGGCACUUGACGGCAUGCAUGGCUCGUCCGUGCUACGCUGUGGGCGUUUACAAAAACACGCCUGCGACAUCUGCAGGGCGUUUGAGGCGGUGGCAGGCAAACGUCAUGGGCGUCCUGUGGGCUUAGUAGGCGUGCUGCGUGGGCGCUUGACGGCAUGCAUGGCUUGUCCAUGCUACGCCGUUGGGCGUUUACAAAAACAUGUCCGUGACGUCUGCAGGGCGUUUGAGGCGGUGGCAGGCGGAUGUCAUGGGCGUCCUUUGGGCAUAGUAGGCGUGCUACAUAGGCGCUUGACGACAUGCGUUGCUUGUCCGUGCUAUGCCGUUGGGCGUCAACAAAAACAUGCCAGCGACUUCUGCGGGGCAACUGAGGCGAAAGCAGGAGGACGUCAAGGGUGUCCUGUGGGCUUAGUAGGCGUGUUGUGUGGGCGCUUGACGGCAUGGUUGUUACUCCGUGCUUCGCCGUUGGGCGCUUACAAAAACACGCCACCGACAUCUGCGGGGAGACAGUGCUCCGCCGAGGGAACUUCUCAAGAUCGGUUUAUACUAGCGUUUGGUGUGGAAACGGCAAUGCUUUCGGGCGAAUGGUGAGUUCUAGAGCUCAUGUUACAGCUAACUCUAGGCAUCGCACGCACAGUGCACGUAAGGCAAUGUACAGCUACAAGGCUGUCCAGAGACGUCCACGGGAGCCUCAGGAAGAGUUAUCUUUUAUGUUUAACAACCUACCCACCCUGGAAUCGGCUCAGCCAAAAGUAGGGUCCUGCUGCUGGAAGAGCACCGCACGUCGCGUGGUGUACGGUGCACUCCCGAUGGCUUUUGAAAAUCUAGAGGACCGAAUGUCUUCCACGCCGGGUCGUACUCGUAACCGCAUCAAGUCUCCAAGGUGAACAACCUCUGGUCGAUGGAACAAUGUCGGAAAGGAAAGUCUGCAAAGUGGAUCCGUAACUACGGGAAAAGGAUUUGCUCUGAGGGAUGGGCACGUGGAUCCCAGUCCCGAACCCGUCGUUGGACUGAACGAGCUGCUCCCGCGGUGAAAGCCGGUCACCGCGUGCCGGAUUGGGGACGGACAAGGAACGGUUCCUUCGGGGGACUUCCCAGGACGUCGAACAGCCAACUCAGAACUGGUACGAACAAGGGGAAUCUGACUAUUUAAUUAAAACAAAGCAUUGCGAUGGUCCCAACGGAUGUUUACGCAAUGUGAUUUCUGCCCAGUGCUCUGAAUGUCAAAGUGAAGACAUUCAACCAAGCGCGGGUAAAUGGCUGGAGUAACUAUGACUCUCUUAUGGUAGUCAAAUGCCUCGUCAUCUAAUUAGUGACGAGCAUGAAUGGAUUAACGAGAUUUCGUGUGUGCCUUUCUACUAUCCAGCGAAACCACAACCAAUAGAACGGGCUUAGAAGAAUCAGCAGGGAAAGAAGACCCUUUUGAGCUUGACUCUAGUCCGACUUUGUCAAAUGACUUGAAAGGUGUAGUAUAGGUGGGAGCUAAAAGACGUAAGUGAAAUACCACUACUUUUAAUGUUAUUUUACUUAUUCCGUGAAUCGAAAGCGGGGCACUGCCCCUCUUUUUGGACCCAAGGCUCGCUUUGCGGGCCGAUCCAGAAAGGAGACAUUGUCAGGUGGGGAGUUUUGCUGGGACGGCACAUCUGUUAAAAGAUAAUGUAGGUGUUCUAAGAUGAGCCCAAUGAGAAAAGAAAUCUCGUGUGUAAGAGAAACGUAAAAGCUCGUUUGAUUCUGAUUUCCAGUAUGAAUACGAACCGUGAAAGCGUGGCCUAAUGAUCCUUUAGACCUUUGGAAUUCGAAGCUAAGCUUUCAGAAAAGUUACCACAGGGAUAACUUGCUUGUGGAAGCCAAGCGUUCACACCGACGUUGCUUUUUGAUCCUUCAAUGUCGGCUCGUUUGGUCACUGUGAAGCAUAAUUCACCAAAUGUUUGAUUGUUCACCCUUCAAUAGGGAACGUGAGCUGGGUUUAGAACGUCGUGAGAGAGGUUAGUUUUACCUUUGAAAAGCCAGUGGCGCGAAGCUACAGUGUGCUGGAUUAUGACUGAACGCCUCUAAAUCAGAAUCCGGACUAGAAGCGAUGCAUGCGCCCGCCGUCCGCUUGCCGACCCGUUGUAGGGGCCUAUGGCCCCCAAGGGCACGUGUCGUUGGCUAAGUCACCGCAACAUAAGCGUCGCGGUGACCGCCUUGAAGUACAAUUUCCAUGGAGCAGCGGGUAGAAUCCUUUGCAGAUGACUUAAAUACAAGACGGGGUAUUGUAAUUGGCAGAGUGGCCUUACUGCCACGAUCCACUGAGAUUCAGCCCUUUGCCGCUCCUAUUCGU
rnacentral:sRNA from 1 species